UACGGAGGGUGCAAGCGUUGUCCGGAAUCACUGGGCGUAAAGGGCGCGUAGGCGGCUCAUGAAGGCUGUGGUGAAAGUCCGGGGCUCAACCUCGGAUCGGCCGUGGCGACUCGUGGGCUGGAGCACUGUAGAGGCGGGUGGAAUUCCGGGUGUAGCGGUGGAAUGCGCAGAUAUCAGGAGGAACACCAAUAGCGAAGGCAGCUCGCUGGGACGUUACUGACACUGAGGCGCGAAAGCGUGGGGAGCGAACAGG
rnacentral:rRNA from 1 species